GACGAACGCUGGCGGCGUGCCUAAUACAUGCAAGUAGAACGCUGAAGGAGGAGCUUGCUUCUCUGGAUGAGUUGCGAACGGGUGAGUAACGCGUAGGUAACCUGCCUGGUAGCGGGGGAUAACUAUUGGAAACGAUAGCUAAUACCGCAUAAUAGUAGAUGUUGCAUGACAUUUGCUUAAAAGGUGCAAUUGCAUCACUACCAGAUGGACCUGCGUUGUAUUAGCUAGUUGGUGGGGUAACGGCUCACCAAGGCGACGAUACAUAGCCGACCUGAGAGGGUGAUCGGCCACACUGGGACUGAGACACGGCCCAGACUUCUACGGGAGGCAGCAGUAGGGAAUCUUCGGCAAUGGACGGAAGUCUGAACGAGCAACGCCGCGUGAGUGAAGAAGGUUUUCGGAUCGUAAAGCUCUGUUGUAAGAGAAGAACGAGUGUGAGAGUGGAAAGUUCACACUGUGACGGUAUCUUACCAGAAAGGGACGGCUAACUACGUG
rnacentral:rRNA from 1 species